AUCCAGUUGAAUAGUCUCAAACAGAAUGAAACGCGCUUCCUAGAU
rnacentral:hammerhead_ribozyme from 1 species